AUUGAACGCUGGCGGCAUGCCUAAUACAUGCAAGUCGAGCGGAUGAAGGGAGCUUGUUCCUGUCUUCAGCGGCCGACGGGUGAGUAAUGCCCAGGAAUCUGACCGGCCGAUGGGGAUGACGUCCGUUCACGGGCGCUAAUACAGCAUACGUCCAGAUGUAGAACCUGAGGGAUCUUUGGUCCUCACGCUUUUAGCUGACCCUAGGUCGCAUUAGCUAGUUGGUUGGGUAAAGGCGUACCAAGGCGACGAUCCGUAACUGGUCUGAGAGGCUGAUCAGUCACACUGGAACUGAGACACGGUCCAGACUCCUACGGGAGGCAGCAGUGGGGAAUAUUGGGCAAUGGGCGAAAGCCUGAUGCAGCCAUGCCGCGUGUGUGAAGAAGGUCUUCGGAUUGUAAAGCACUUUAAGUAGGGAAGAAGAAAAGUGAGAUAAUACCUUGACGUUUUGACGUUACCAAAAGAGAAAGCACCGGCUAACUUCGUG
rnacentral:rRNA from 1 species